CGGGAAAGCAGUAAGAGUUUAGAAACCUAAAACAUUUUCCCGCAAACUCCUCUACAAAUCUUUGGCUCUUGAAUUAUCGUCGGCCGUCGCCCACUCCCGACAGUUGCCUCCUUGUCGGAGUGACCCAACACCGUUCCACCGCCGACCGCUGGUCACCCACGAUCCACAAAGAAACAAUGUUACAAGUCAGGGUCACUCAAAGAAACAGCAGCGAAGCAACCAACCGGUUUUGAAGCCGCCGUCGGCUCGUGGCCCUCGCUUCUCCGCCACCGCGCCACUGGUCGAUUCGCCGCUCUCGCUGAAUCGUCGUUCCUCACCGACUCCCUGUUGCAGUUUAGGAACUGGAGAAAAACCUUGGAACCUCGAGAAGCGACUCGUUGAAAUUAGUUUGUUUCACUCAAUUCACCAUAAUGAGGAUGGUAUAUAGAAGGAGAAUGGUAGAUAAAAGGAUUGCAUGAAGGGCAUAGAUUGAAGUUCAUUUGGACUGAUUUGGACAAAUAAAUUAAAUACUAGAUAGAUUUUAGAUUGCUUAAACUAUUAGUUCUUUGUGGAGAUUCAUUAGUUUUCUUAAUUGAUGUAUUUAUAUUAUAACAAUGGUUUUUGUUAUUAGAAUGAUUGUUAUGGAUAUUUUAUUUUAAUAAUAAGUAAAACUUCAUUCAAAAUAAAUGUUUUCUAUUUGUGGUA